rnacentral:rRNA from 1 species
GACGAACGCUGGCGGCGUGCUUAACACAUGCAAGUCGAACGGAAAGGCCCUGCUUUUGUGGGGUGCUCGAGUGGCGAACGGGUGAGUAACACGUGAGUAACCUGCCCUUGACUUUGGGAUAACUUCAGGAAACUGGGGCUAAUACCGGAUAGGAGCUCCUGCUGCAUGGUGGGGGUUGGAAAGUUUCGGCGGUUGGGGAUGGACUCGCGGCUUAUGAGCUUGUUGGUGGGGUAGUGGCUUACCAAGGCUAGGACGGGUAGCCGGCCUGAGAGGGUGAUCAGGCACACGGGUACUGAGACACGGGUCAGACUCCUACGGGAGGCAGCAGUGGGGAAUAGUGGACAAUGGGCGCAAGCCUGAGCCAGCCAUACGGCGUGCGUGCAGAAGGCAUUGGGGUUGGAAAGGCGGUUGGUGGGGAAGGAAAAGCAGCAGGUUAAUAGCCCGCUGGUCGGACGGUACCGAAAUAAUAAGCACCGGCUAACUGCGUG